GCGACGAGGAGGCGUUGCUGCGAGUGCUGCUGCCUCGUCUGGACAAACUGAGCAGCCGUCGGAACAGAGACCUUCUGAGGAGGAUGUAGAUCCAGGGGUCCAGGAUGGGGUUGACAGAGGCGAUCCUAAUGGCUGCCAGUUGGUUUCCCGAUAAAAUAAAACACAGAUGAUCAUUUCUAAACUUCAUAUGAAGAAUUCACUGGCGGAUCUUGGAUUUUUCCAGGUUUGUCUUUUUCUCCUUUGCAAAUGUCUUCUCUUGACCCCAGUGCAUCUGAAGCAGAGGGAUCCCCAGCACCAGAUUCGUGGAGCUCAUACUUCAUUUCAUGUGUGGUUUAAUUCGCUGCAGCGUCUGUGUGCGGGUGCACCGUCGGAUCUGUGCCGAGAAUGUUGGCACACGUUCCCCGAAUACUAUAAUAAAACCAGCGAUGACUGCGACUAAUAAACAACAUCAGAACACAUAUGGAAAACAAAGCUGCAGGUCCACAUCGAUCUCCAUCAUGUUCGGUCUGCUUCUAGUUCUGAGCCUUCAAUUUCAAUGUUGACAUUUUCGUUUUCUGUGCGUUGCUCUCGGAUUCUUCCCUCGAGCAGCGGUGGAAACUAUCGGGCAAAGAUGUUUACAACAAGUGUGGACGAUUUUUUAAACUGACUAAAGAUGUGGCAUCGGUGGGGAAAGCUGCAAAAUGUUCAACGAAACGCAGGAACGCUUGAUGUACGCAACAAGAGGCCGUGGUGUGUUUGAGUGUGUUGCUGUCACUGGUAUUUUCCCAACAGCUAUGUCCAAAACAGAGAUGACUGUAAAUGGUUGCGAGGAACAGGAGAGAGCUGAUGGACAGCGAGUACACAGGGGGGGGGACGUCAGCGCACUUACUCUGCCCCGACUCUGCAGCCAUCACACAUUCAUUACAGUGUGACUGAUGUUUACAGUGAGCUGCAGCCGAGAGGCGUCUCUGUCUGCGGGCCAACCUUAAAAGACAAAACACAACACCUCACACCUCUGCUGCUCACAACGGAGCGCUGGCACAGUCCAAACACCACAAACCACUGACGUGAUGCCAGGACUCGGAAACUCCAGCGUGUCCUCAAGGUGAAUCACGUACAACUUGUCCCUGCUGUGGUUUAUAGUUGUGUAACGGUAAUCCAUUUAUUUCAAAUGCACUUAAAAUCUAUUCUCUCCGUCUGUGGUCUCUAUAAAAGGUGAUGGUAGAUUUUACAAUAUGACUAAGCUGCACAACAGAGAGUUCUUUUCUGUCUGUAAAUCUCGAAGCUUAUGAAUCCGAAACGACACCAGUUUAAAGAGCCCGUUUCAUCCACUGGUCUUAAUUAACCUUACAAAUAUUUACAACGUCUCUAUUUUAUCAGGUUUUAUUUGACGAUCCCAAAACAUUUACUUCUUGUAAACUGUAUCUUUACCUCAGCCCUGUUCCCGGUUGGAUGACAUCAGUGCAGUUGUAAAGGCUCUUGUCCUCGACUUGGCUCUUAAACACAAUUAAAUCAAUAUCGGUCUGUAAGUGUGUCCAGCAUUGUGUAUAUAACCAUCCAUCCAUCAUGCAUCCAUUCAAUAUCGCUCAUCCUUUGAGGGUCACGGGAGAAGCCAAUCCCAUCUGACAUUGGGCGAGAGGCCUUGUAUAACCCACCCUGCCCUGGUUGGAGAAAUUGGAAAAGGGAGAGUCAACCUGAGUCACUGAGCCCUGGCUACCUCUCAGAACCAUAAGUGGAGAAGAUGCAUAUAGACACAAGCAGCCAUUGACCCUACAGGUAAUGUAAAGCGUCCAAUUAUCCUCCAUGUGUUUGGACAGUGGGAGGCAGCUUGAGGAAAAACCAUCACAGACACGGGGAGAACAAACAAACUCCUCACAGAACGACCCUGGUCGGCCGUUAGGUUUGAACCAGGAAACUUUUGUUCUGAGAAACCACUGUGCUGCUCCUGCACUGCACGAGGAGCAGGAUUCCUUUAUAUCUAUUCAUCAAACGCAGAACUCAAACUAAAAACUUGUGCGCUGGGCACUAGUAUUAAUUCUUCAACGUGGAGGUGCAGGCACAUUAGGAGGAGACACCCCGAUAUAUUACUUGUUUCAAUGUGUGGAUAACGUGUUUUUGUUCUAUCCCUCGCUCUGGCAUCGCUCACAUUCAAAGUUUGAGGGUCCAGUGUGUUGCUCAAAGACACUGGGAAUGAUUUUGGAGGA